rnacentral:rRNA from 1 species
UACAUGUGGGGCAAGCGUUGUCCGGAAUUACUGGGCGUAAAGAGCGCGUAGGCGGCACGGUACGACCGGUGUGAAAGCCCCCCGGCUCAACUGGGGAGGGUCACCGGUAACGGCCGAGCUACGAGUGCAGGAGAGGGAAGUGGAACUCCGGGAGUAGCGGUGAAAUGCGUAGAGACCCGGAGGAACACCAGUGGCGAAGGCGGCUUCCUGGUCUGCAACUGACGCUGUGGCGCGAAAGCUAGGGGAGCAAACGGG